CGUAGGAACAAAAAGAAGCAGAUCUAUUCUAUAUCCGAUAAGUAACAAUACGCAAUGGUGGGGGUUGUUACUUUUUUUUAUGAGUGUUUGUAUUGGAUAUGUGGUUUAUAUCAGUGAAUCCAGACAUAUCCAAGAAGGACCUAUUCGUCAAAACUUUCCUUUAUUCAUUUAGUGUUAUUUUUUUAUUUAUGUUAUCUCCAAAAUAGAAUGAUUUUUAACAAAUCAACUCAUUCUGUUCUUACGUUCUCACUCCAAGAAAGAAGAUAGGAUAGAUUUUUUCUAUUUAAUGCAAUUGGUGUUCCAAAGUACCUUUCAACUUCUGAAGAGAUGAGGCAUUUGGGUUGAUUUAUACAAUCGACUUUUUCAAGAAAGAUUACUUUUUUUAGGUCAAGAGGUCAACACUGAAAUAUCAAAUCAACUUGUUGGUCUAAUGGUAUAUCUCAGUUUAGAGGACAAGACCAGAGAUUUGUAUUUGUUUAUAAAUUCUCCGGGCGGAGAGGUAUAUUGGAAUGGUAUAUUUGAUAUUAUGCAGUUGUAGAAGCAGAAGUAUACAGUAUGCGUAGGAUUAGCCGCUUCAAUGGGAUCUCUUCUUUUGGUCGGAGGGGAAUUUAC
rnacentral:lncRNA from 1 species